AGGGUUUGAUCAUGGCUCAGAACGUACGCUGGCGGCACGCCUAACACAUGCAAGUCGAACGAAGUAGCAAUACUUAGUGGCAGACGGGUGAGUAACAUGUAGGUAUCUACCCUUUGGCCUGGAAUAACACGAGGAAACUUGUGCUAAUACCGGAUAAGUCUUUACGGAGAAAGCUUUAUGCACCAUUGGAUGAGCCUGCACUUGAUUAGUUUGUUGGUGGGGUAAUGGCCUACCAAGACUGUGAUCAAUAGCUGAUUUGAGAGGAUGAUCAGCCACAUUGGGACUGAGACACGGCCCAAACUCCUACGGGAGGCAGCAGUGGGGAAUCUUGCACAAUGGGGGAAACCCUGAUGCAGCGAUGCCGCGUGAGUGAAGAAGGCCUUUGGGUUGUAAAGCUCUUUCGUCGGGGAAGAAAAUGACUGUACCCGAAUAAGAAGGUCCGGCUAACUUCGUGCCAGCAGCCGCGGUAAUACGAAGGGACCUAGCGUAGUUCGGAAUUACUGGGCUUAAAGAGUUCGUAGGUGGUUGAAAAAGUUGGUGGUGAAAUCCCAGAGCUUAACUCUGGAACUGCCAUCAAAACUUUUUAGCUAGAGUAUGAUAGAGGAAAGCAGAAUUUCUAGUGUAGAGGUGAAAUUCGUAGAUAUUAGAAAGAAUACCAAUUGCGAAGGCAGCUUUCUGGAUCAUUACUGACACUGAGGAACGAAAGCAUGGGUAGCGAAGAGGAUUAGAUACCCUCGUAGUCCAUGCCGUAAACGAUGUGUGUUAGACGUUGGAAAUUUAUUUUCAGUGUCGCAGCGAAAGCGAUAAACACACCGCCUGGGGAGUACGACCGCAAGGUUAAAACUCAAAUGAAUUGACGGGGACCCGCACAAGUAGUGGAGCAUGUGGUUUAAUUCGAAGAUACGCGCAGAACCUUACCAACACUUGACAUGUUCGUCGCGACUUUAAGAGAUUAAAGUUUUCGGUUCGGCCGGACGAAACACAGGUGCUGCAUGGCUGUCGUCAGCUCGUGUCGUGAGAUGUUGGGUUAAGUCCCGCAACGAGCGCAACCCUCACUUUUAGUUGCCAUCAUUAAGUUGGGCACUCUGAAAGAACUGCCAGUGAUAAGCUGGAGGAAGGUGGGGAUGACGUCAAGUCCUCAUGGCCCUUACGUGUUGGGCUACACACGUGCUACAAUGGUAUAUACAACAGGAAGCAAGACGGCGACGUUAAGCAAAUCCUCAAAAGAUACCUCAGUUCGGAUUGCACUCUGCAACUCGAGUGCAUGAAGCUGGAAUUACUAGUAAUCGUGGAUCAGCGUGCCACGGUGAAUGCGUUCCCGGGUCUUGUACACACCGCCCGUCACACCAUGGGAGUUGGUUCUACCUUAAGGC
rnacentral:rRNA from 1 species